rnacentral:rRNA from 1 species
UGAUGACGAGACGCUAAGGCGUUGAAGCAGUGUAUGUCAGACUUCCAAGAAAAGCUCGCAAUGUCACAAAUGAAAAAUGCCUGUACCAUAACCGACACAGGUGGUAGGUAGAGUAUACUAAGGGGCGCGAGAUAACUCUCUCUAAGGAACUCGGCAAAAUGACUCCGUAACUUCGGGAGAAGGAGUGCCUUAUUUAUAAGGUUGCAAUAACAAGAUCCAAGCAACUGUUUAUCAAAAACACAGGUCUCCGCUAAGUCGUAAGACGAUGUAUGGGGGCUGACGCCUGCCCAGUGCCAGAAGGUUAAAGAAGUUGGUUAGUGUAUGCGAAGCUGAUGACUGAAGCCCUGGUGAACGGCGGCCGUAACAAUAACGGUCCUAAGGUAGCGAAAUUCCUUGUCGGGUAAGUUCCGACCCGCACGAAAGGCGUAAUGAUUUGGAUACUGUCUCGGAGAGAGGCUCGGUGAAAUAGACUUGUCUGUGAAGAUGCGGACUACCUGCACCAGGACAGAAAGACCCUAUGAAGCUUUACUGUAACUUGAAAUUGGAAUUGGACUUUGCUUGCGCAGUAUAGGUGGGAAGCGUUGAAAAUAUUCUUGCGGGAGUAUUGGAGCUAUCAGUGAGAUACCACUCUUGUAAUGUUAGAUUUCUAACUUUGAACCAUAAUCUGGUCAAAGAACAGUUUCAGGUGGGCAGUUUGACUGGGGCGGUCGCCUCCCAAAUGGUAACGGAGGCGUACAAAGGUUUCCUCUGAACGGAUAGAAAUCGUAUCUAGAGUGUAAAGGCAUAAGGAAGCUUGACUGUGAGACCUACAAGUCGAGCAGGGACGAAAGUCGGUCUUAGUGAUCUGACGGUACUGAGUGGAAAGGCCGUCACUCAACGGAUAAAAGUUACUCUAAGGAUAACAGGCUGAUCUCCCCCAAGAGUUCACAUCGACGGGGAGGUUUGGCACCUCGAUGUCGGCUCAUCGCAUCCUGGGGCGGUAGUACGUCCCAAGGGUUGGGCUGUUCGCCCAUGAAAGCGGUACGCGAGCUGGGUUCAGAACGUCGUGAGACAGUUCGGUCCAUAUCCGGUGUAGGCGCUAGAAUAUUGAGAGGAGCCUUCUUUAGUACGAGAGGACCGAGAAGGACACACCGCUGGUGUACCAGUUAUCGUGCCAACGGUAAACGCUGGGUAGCUAUGUGUGGAGUGGAUAACCGCUGAAAGCAUCUAAGUGGGAAGCCCACCUCGAGAUGAGUAUUCAC